AUUAAUGAAGAAAAAGACAAAAAAUCUAAAUUAACUAGGUUAACUCUUCAAACCAGGUUAAACCAUCAAACCUGAGAUCCAUGUCAUGAAAAUUUGAUAAUUAAAUAAAAAAUUUAACAUUAAAAAA